UGGGGAAUAUUGCACAAUGGGCGAAAGCCUGAUGCAGCAACGCCGCGUGAGUGAUGAAGGUCUUCGGAUUGUAAAGCUCUGUCUUUUGGGACGAUAAUGACGGUACCAAAGGAGGAAGCCACGGCUAACCACGUGCCAGCAGCCGCGGUAAUACGUAGGUGGCGAGCGUUGUCCGGAUUUACUGGGCGUAAAGGGUGCGUAGGCGGAUGUUUAAGUGAGAUGUGAAAUACCCGGGCUUAACUUGGGUGCUGCAUUUCAAACUGGAUAUCUAGAGUGCAGGAGAGGAGAAUGGAAUUCCUAGUGUAGCGGUGAAAUGCGUAGAGAUUAGGAAGAACACCAGUGGCGAAGGCGAUUCUCUGGACUGUAACUGACGCUGAGGCACGAAAGCGUGGGUAGCAAACAGGAUUAGAUACCCUGGUAGUCCACGCCGUAAAACGAUGAGUACUAGGUGUAGGAGGUAUCGACCCCUUCUGUGCCGCAGUAAACACAUUAAGUACUCCGCCUGGGAAGUACGAUCGC
rnacentral:rRNA from 1 species